ensembl:lncRNA
UGCUAUCAUCAUAAAGUAGGUUUAAAUUUAAAUAUCUCCAUGUUGCCCUUUAAAGUAAUAUAAAGCAAUCAAUACACCAGCAGCCAAUGUAUUAUAUAUGAGGAAUAAUUGUAAGGUAACAUGAACAUUUCUUUAACUCAGGUCUAUACAAAAACAGGUUGGUUGGAUUACUGAGUGGGUAAUUUAUGUCAUCUCAAAUACAACUCAGACCAGGUGACUUUCUAUGGGAAAGCUGUUGCUUAGUGUUAAAAGUAACAUAUGUGUGCUUGACAUGAUCAUGAUGUAUAGAAUUGAACCAGAGAUUCAGGCCCAUGUGGUCAUGGUGGUAUCAGGAAUGGACUUUCUACUGGCACAUGACUAAAAAUAAAACUAUCUUAUUCAUCCCAUAGUUCUCAUUCCUUCUUCAGUAGUUCAGCCUGUAAGAACAGCCAGCCAUUACAAUCUAUGCACAAAAUUAGAAUUGCACUGGCGCGUGACAUGCACAGAAUCUCACUGUGUCUCAUAGCUUGUCCAGAUAGUUGGUAAUUCAUGUUAAAAUUGUUUUAUCAUGAAUGAGAGCAUAUAUCAUGUAAAACAACCAGAAAAACCUAUCAGACAUUCUUAUUUCUCUCUCCAUUCUUACUUCUCUCUCCCUAUCUCCCUUUCUCUCUUUCUCACUCUUUUUUAUUCUCUGUCUCUCUCUCUCUCUCUCCCUCACACACACGCACACACACACACACAGCAUUCUAAUAAAUACUGAGAAUACGAGUUUGAAUCCUCUGCCGCAUACUAGCAGUAUAAUCCUGGAUGUUUUACUUAAUCUUGUUUUGCUUGGGUUUCCUUAUCAGUAAAAAUGGGGACCAAUAAUUGAAUAUUACCUCCUGCCUCGGGUGGUUUUGAGGAUGAAGUGAGGAAAUAUGUGUAAGAUGCCUGGCACCCCUAGUGAGCAUUCCAUAAAAGUUGCCUGUAACUAGGUGGGAAGAUUGAGGCCCAGGGAAAUCAUAACGUGAUCAAGGUCACUAAGGUUCAAGGCUAAUCAGGAUUAGGAUCUAUAUAAUGAUUCCUAGCUCAGUGUUCUUUCUUUUACGCUAAGUUGUCUCAUGAACUGGCAGUUAAUGAUAUACUUUUUUUUUUUUAACUUUUUGUAUUUGUGUGUCUUUUCUCCCCAACUAAAUAUUAGUGUCCUAAAAGCCAAAUGCAUGGGUUAAUGACUUCUUUAUCAACCACAGCCUCUAGUGGAGAGUUCUUGCUAUUGGGAGCUCAGGGUUCAUUUGUUAAUUAUGAGCUUUUGACACAAUCUUCAACCUAAAACUAUUUUAGUCAUCCCAUAGUUCUCAUUCCUUCUUCAGCAGUUCAGCCUGUAAGAACAGCCGGCCAUAACAAUCUCUGCACAAAAUUAGAAUUGCACAGUGCACAACCACUGACUACUUCCUCUGUAACUCCCUAGAUAAGAGCAUGCAAUUUCCUACUAGAUUUCUGCAGUGUGAAGAAAAUAAUAUAAUUCAUCUCUGCUUUUGCUUCUGCAUAUAUAGAAUUUGUAUACAGCAUUACUCAAUCACAAAAGAAUUCCAUUAUAAUUUAGCUUAUUGUUAUGUAAAUUCAGGCAUAACCCGGGCCACAGUAUCAUCCCAAGAAUAUAAUAAGUACCAAUAAGGAAAACCUGGUAGAAUAUCUCAAGAGUGGUGAUUAUUUUUAGCUUUGGAUAACAACUUUUAUAUAAAGGAGCUCCGCUCACAAUGCAUUUAUGGCAGUAUUAAGUACACUCACUAGUAAGGUAAUAUUAGGGUAUGUUUUAUACAUCUCUAUUAGAAUGUGCUAGUGUACUAAACAUUACAAAUUACCACCGUGAUUGCCUUUGGAGUUACUCUUAAGAGUCAACCAUAUCCUUGAAAAUCAGUUUCCUAAACAAACUUCCUCUUAAAUAUGCCUUUGAAAGGUUUAAGCUCCUCUCGGUAAUGGCAUUUCACAUUUCAAGAAUUUGCAAGCAUUCAGCAGCAAGUAUGUGUAUCCUACAAGUUUCAGUCUUCUCUUGGUCCUCAGGAUGUAGUUAAUAUCCAUGCGAGGGAGGAGCUAGCAACGGACUUGCAGGACCAGAUGGGCCAGUUUGUCCUUCUGUAGACCUAAGCCCUUGAGCCCAUUAACGGGCCCUCAAGUACCUCCCCAGCCUUCCAGUCCUGAGCUGCAUAAUUCAUCCAGGAAUCCAUCUCCUAUUUUCGUGUGAAUUGGGAAGGUAAAGGUUACCCUUCCCAGGUUAACCCAGGUUAAAAGAGAAGGGAAGGACUUGCUGAGCCUUGCCUUCCAAGGAACAUCAGGAUGAUAUUCAAAGGAUAGCAAAGUGCUCUCUGUAGGAAAGUGCUGGCAAGUUCUAUUCUCUUGUGAAUAGGAACCCUUCAGACGACUUGAAAAUAGCCAAAUGCAGCAAUAUAACGACCAAUUUCAAAGUUUGCUGGCCUAUGACACUCCUCUAGGAAUUCUUGGUUUCCAGCUGAUCUCAUUAGCUACAAAUAGAAUCCACUAAGCUUUAUCAGGAUUCUGGCAUUUUGUUUGAGAAUCCAAACUUUUCUGUUUGAAAACUAGGGCAAAACUCAUUUAUAUAUCAACAGGGAUGUGAGAGAAGGAGCAUACAAGGAAAGUCAUUGUAUUAUAAGUGUGUAGAACAUAAUAGUUUGAAGAGGAAGAGACUUCCGAUGAGCCCGAAUAAACACCAGGAUAUGUAACACACAGUCGAAAAGAGCUUCAAUUUACACAAUGUAGCAAUGGGCCCAUUAGGAUAGAAAUCAUAACUCAUUAAUUUAAAUAAGAGCCCCUGAUAGGCGUGUAGUAUUUCACCAAUUAGAGAGUGCUUUCCAUGAGUCAUUUUUCACAUUAGAUGACUCAGGGCAAGUGAGGGCCUGGGUUUGAUAACCUAUUGGGCAAAAUCAGCCCAUCACUGUUGUAUCCUGGUAAAUGCUAAGGAGUCUACAACUCGAUGAAAAUGGCUUCCAUGUUUGAAUUAUUUUCUUUAAAUAAACUUAGGGAAGAUGGGUGUCCUUCUUCAGUGCCUACCAUGUUAGAGAUUCAAGAUAGUUCAGAAAGUCUUUUGGUCCAACACUCUGACUUGUGAGAGAUUACUCUUGGUAGACAAUUAAUCUUUUUCUUUGUUCACCAAGGCAUAGUGGCAUCAAACUCCUUUAGUUACAUGGAGGCAAGAAGCUAAUUCCCAUCUUUGCUGUAAUAAUUGCUAAACAUGAGAAGUUGUGGGGAUGAGCUCUAAUUCCAACUACUUUAUUAGAUUCUACCAUGGUCCCUGGUAGGUUGCUCACCCAUCACUGUGCCAAUAUUAUCAUCUGUGACUUGAGGCUAGCAGAAGGGCCAGCUUAUCUGAGUCUCAGCAGUGGGAAGACAGGGACAAAAGAGAUAGAUAAUUUGAGCAGAAUGAGCAGUAUUAGCUCGAAUGCCGCUCCCAGGCCCACUUUGGGACCAUCUACGAUGGGGAAGGUGGCUCAGACAUGGGUCAUUUUGUUCGGGAGACCACAUAUUAAAAUCUGCUGAGGGCUUCCCUGGUGGCGCAGUGGUUGAGAGUCCGCCUGCCGAUGUAGGGGACACAGGUUUGUGCCCCGGUCCGGGAGGAUCCCACGUGCCGCGGAGCGGCUGGGCCCGUGAGCCAUGGCCGCUGAGCCUGUGCAUCCGGAGCCUGUGCUCUGCAACGGGAGAGGCCAGAACAGCGAGAGGCCCGUGUACCG